CCCAUCUCCGUGGCUGAGGGCCUAGGGAGGAGGGAAAAUCCAUCCUCAGACACACUAGAUCCUCAGCGAGACCUGCUGUGGAGAGCAUCAAACGGACCGCACGCGGACCCACCUGCCUUCCAAAGUUUGGGGCGUGAGGAAGCUGAGGCACGUGGCGUUUGGUUAUGGCACAGCUGAGGGGUCUGCAGGAGACCCCAGAAAAUGCCGCUGAGGACGGAUUCACCGACGUCAUCAAAAGCCGCGCUGGUACUGACAAGACAUUGAAAUUGCUGCCGAAGUAAAUGACUAGAGGAAUAGGUAACUCUUUUUAUUUUGUAACCUAUUAUUUUUCUACCUUUCCUAAUAAAGAGAGAGAAUUGACAAAUACUGAUUUAGGAACUGUGGGCUAGUCUAAUGUGUUGUUGACAGAAGUUGAAGAGGGUAGUGAAAAAAUGAUCACGAAUUAUCGCUAAAGUUAAAUUCAAAGUAAAUUAUUUUCUAACUUCAAAACAAAACUUUAUAAACAUCUCUAGAAAAUGUUCUCUUAGUUAUGCCCAUUUUGUUUACAGUUGAUUAGAAGUAGAAUAGAAAAAUGACAGAGU
rnacentral:lncRNA from 1 species